rnacentral:rRNA from 1 species
AUUGAACGCUGGCGGCAGGCCUAACACAUGCAAGUCGAGCGGAUGAAGGGAGCUUGCUCUUGGAUUCAGCGGCGGACGGGUGAGUAAUGCCUAGGAAUCUGCCUGGUAGUUGGGGAUAACGUCCGGAAACGGGCGCUAAUACCGCAUACGUCCUGAGGGAGAAAGUGGGGGAUCUUUGGACCUCACGCUAUCAGAUGAGCCUAGGUCGGAUUAGCUAGUUGGUGGGGUAAAGGCCUACCAAGGCGACGAUCCGUAACUGGUCUGAGAGGAUGAUCAGUCACACUGGAACUGAGACACGGUCCAGACUCCUACGGGAGGCAGCAGUGGGGAAUAUUGGACAAUGGGCGAAAGCCUGAUCCAGCCAUGCCGCGUGUGUGAAGAAGGUCUUCGGAUUGUAAAGCACUUUAAGUUGGGAGGAAGGGCAGUAAGUUAAUACCUUGCUGUUUUGACGUUACCAACAGAAUAAGCACCGGCUAACUUCGUG